CCUACGGGUGGCAGCAGUGAGGAAUAUUGGUCAAUGGGAGAGAUCCUGAACCAGCCAAGCCGCGUGAGGGAAGAAGGCCCUAUGGGUUGUAAACCUCUUUUGUCGGAGAACAAAACCCGGGACGUGGCCCGGACUGCGUGUAUCCGAAGAAAAAGCAUAGGCUAAAUCCGUGCCAGCAGACGCGGUAAUACGGAGGAUGCGAGCGUUAUCCGGAUUUAUUGGGUUUAAAGGGUGCGUAGGCGGUCCGUUAAGUCAGCGGUAAAAUGGCGGGGCUCAACCCCGUCGAGCCGUUGAAACUGGCAGACUUGAGUUGGCGAGAAGUACGCGGAAUGCGCGGUGUAGCGGUGAAAUGCAUAGAUAUCGCGCAGAACUCCGAUUGCGAAGGCAGCGUACCGGCGCCAGACUGACGCUGAGGCACGAAAGCGUGGGGAUCGAACAGGAUUAGAUACCCGAGUAGUC
rnacentral:rRNA from 1 species